rnacentral:rRNA from 1 species
ACGGGGUGCAGCAGGCGCGAAUCCUCUACAAUGUGCGAAAGCAUGAUAGGGGGACUCCAAGUGUCUCUCUAACGAGAGACUUUUGUAGUAUGUAAAAAGUACUACGAAUAAGGGCUGGUCAAGACUAGUGCCAGCCUCCGCGGUAACACUAGCAGCUCGAGUGGUAGUCGUUUUUAUUGGGCUUAGAGCGUCCGUAGUCUGGCUAGUAAGUUCUUUGUGAAAUCUUGUUGCUUAACAAUAGGGCUUGCAGAGAAUACUACUGGUCUUGGAGCUAGGAGGGGUUGGAGGUAUUCCUAGGGUAGCGGUGAAAUGCUAUAAUCCUGGGAGGACCACCGAUAGCGAAGGCAUCCAACUAGAAUGGGCUCGACGAUGAGGGACGAAAGCUAGGGGAGCGAACAGGAUUAGAUACCCUGGUAGUCCUAGCCGUAAACGAUGUGGACUGAGUGUUUCUUGAACCUCGUGUUCAAGAAGUGUUGAAGGGAAACCGUUAAGUCCACCGCCUGGGGAGUACGGUCGCAAGGCUGAAACUUAAAGGAAUUGGCGGGGGAGCACCACAAGGG